CUGGUCACUUCCGAGAGUUCUCCGGCUAGUAGCUUCGCGCCCAGCCUUGCUCCCAAGACCUUGCAGUUAGUCGUGGAGUGUCCUCGGGACUGGUGGAACUCGCAGAAGGUGUUUUCAUCAUAUCCUUGAUUGCGAGUUCACGUAUUACCCGUGGUUUGGCCCAGGUCUGAGCCGAUCGCAUAAUUGUGUGCUCCUUGGAGUUCUUCCCCCUCGUGAUGGACAUACUUGUCGUUACGAAGGUUCUUUUUCCUUGUUUUUGUGUCUACAUCUUUCGAGGAUGAUCUCGCCGACUUAUGUUUUUGCGAUAAGAUUUUUGUUUCUUCCUCGAUCAUGAUGUAGUUCGUCGCCUUGUGGAGGGCGUCUUGGAUUGUUCGCGGUUUUUCGAGGGAUAUCCAUUUUCUAAGUUUCGACUUGU
rnacentral:lncRNA from 1 species